rnacentral:rRNA from 1 species
GACGAACGCUGGCGGCGUGCCUAAUACAUGCAAGUCGAACGGACAGGUUCUGCCUUUGCGUGCUACUCGAGUGGCGAACGGGUGCGUAACGCGUGAGAAACCUGCCCUUGCCUUUGGGAUAACUUCAGGAAACUGGGGCUAACACUGGCUAGGAGCUCCUGAUGCUAGGUGGGGGUUGGUAAGUUUCGGAGGUUGGGGAUGGACGCGCGGCCUAUCAGCCUGUUGGUGGGGUAGUGGAUUACCAAGGCUUUGACGGGUAGCCGGCCUGAGAGUGUGACCGGCCACAUUGGGACUGAGGUAGGGCCCAGAGUCCAUCGGGAGGCAGCAGUGGAGAACAUUGCACAAUGGGCGGAGUCCGGAUGCAACAUCGCCGCGUGCGAGAUGACGGCCUUCGGGUAGUAAACCGCGUUCGCCUGGAACGAAGCGUGAGUGACGGUAAUUGGUAAAGAAGCACCGGCUAACUACGUG